AUGAAGAUAAUAGGGCGCAAACAUAUCUUUCUGAAUGGGUCCAAAGUCAAAUUCUAUGGGGUGGAAUUUGUACAUUUUGAGGAAAAUCAAGCAGAAGACAAUGUAGUGUGUGUUGUUGGGUUAAUAAGAGGAUGCUUCCCUAAAGACCUCAUCCCUAGUGAUUUAAGUGAGAUGCUUGAUCUUUUGCUAUCAGAUCCUCUGCCCAAUCUUGAAGCAGGGAAAGGUGAUUGCUCCCUGCUGUCAGCAAAAGAGAGGACAGAACUCUUGGUUCUUUUGCAUACCGAGUACAUGACAAAUGUAAAACCUAUGUUAUGUGGUAAAGAUGGCGACGAUCCAAAUGGAAAUUUGGAAGAUUUCUUCGUAGGGUGCUCGUACAUAGAAACAUGGGUAGACACUAUGACAAAAAACACUUACCUAACUGAGGUCGCCAGUUAUAACUCGGUACUGGGGGUUUUGAAACUGGAGAAGAGAAAGGAGGAGAACAAAGAGAAGUUGGAGAAUGAAGAGGAUGACAAUAAAAAGCUAAUACAAAAAGGAGAGCGACAGUUUCAUGUUCUAAGAAAUUGUGAUGUACAUAUUCCUGAGAAGGCUGCAAAGGAUGGAAUAUGUCCAUUUCGUCUGACGUGGUGUGACUACAUCCGUACGUGCUACUUUCGAAAGUAUCUCUCCUUUGUGCAAAGCCGCAUGGAAUCUUAUCUAAAGCCAACAAGGUGA
rnacentral:rRNA from 1 species